AUCCCUUGGUUCAUGAGCAUGAUGAUUCACCCAAUCACACCUUAGGCACGAGAUGUGCCUCCCUCAAACCUUGUUACAACAUGGGCACAUUACCCAUCUGACG